GACGAACGCUGGCGGCGUGCUUAACACAUGCAAGUCGAACGAAGUGGCGAACGGGUGAGUAACGUGUAAUCAACCUGCCCUUCAGAGGGGGACAACAGUUGGAAACGACUGCUAAUACCGCAUACUGAAGGAGGGGAUUGCGUCUGAUUAGCUAGUUGGGGGGGUAACGGCCCACCAAGGCGAUGAUCAGUAGCCGGGCGGAGAGGUUGAGCGGCCAAAUUGGGACGGAGACACGGCCCAGACUCCUACGGGAGGGAGCAGGAGGGAAUCUUCCGCAAUGGACGGAAGUCUGACGGAGCAACGCCGCGUGAGUGAUGACGGCCUUCGGGUUGUAAAGCUCUGUUAAUCGGGACGCGGUACCGGAAUAGAAAGCCACGGCUAACUACGUGCCAGCAGCCGCGGUAAUAC
rnacentral:rRNA from 1 species